UACGUAGGAUGCAAGAGGUGUCCGGCUUUAUUGGGUUUACAGGGUGCGUGGGCGGCCUAUUAAGUUAGUGGUGAAAACGAUCGGCUUAACCGGAUACCCGCCAUUGAUACUGAUAGACUUGAGUGCGACAGAGGGUGUUGGAAUGUGUGGUGUAGCGGUGAAAUGCUUAGAUAUCACGCAGAACACCAAUUGCGAAGGCAGAUGCCUAUGUCGUAACUGACGCUGAGGCACGAAAGCGUGGGGAGCAAACAGG
rnacentral:rRNA from 1 species